rnacentral:rRNA from 1 species
AUGGCGGUUCCGACAGGGGAGGGAGAAGCCGUAGAGGGUUCCGCGAGAGGAACAGAGGAAGUGGGGGAAACCCACCGAGAAACCCAAGCAACGGCUUCGAUAGGUCGACAUGUGCCCAAUUUCCUUCACGGUUUCCCACUACGCAGGAUGUGGGCGUGGAGAUCCAUGCAUUAUCAUCAUGAUGCAGUUGUCAAAGCGAAACCGACUGGCCAUCUCCCUAUCUUUCGACAGUGA